rnacentral:rRNA from 1 species
UACGGAGGGUGCAAGCGUUGUUCGGAUUUACUGGGCGUAAAGCGCGCGCAGGUGGGUGUGCAAGUCGGAAGUGAAAUCUUGAGGCUCAACCUCGAGGCUGCUCCCGAAACUGCACGCCUAGGGACUGGUAGAGGCUGGUAGAAUUCCCGGUGUAGCGGUGGAAUGCGUAGAGAUCGGGAAGAAUACCCGUGGCGAAGGCGGCCAGCUGGGCCAGGUC